AAACUUGGGAUCUUUUUUCGUGCAUGCAGAAGAACGUUAGUUUCAUCAAUCGCCAUAUGAUGAAAAGGAAGAAAAGAUUUGAGACCAUGAGAAAGUUGUUGGAGAUUGAUGAAAUGCCAUGGGGCAUCCGAUUCAAGCCAAAGCAACAAGAAGAAAUUUGCUUGGAGGAACAAAGAUAUGAAGAAGAGCAACAGGCGCCUUCUCCUAGCUCAAAAUUCUCCGAGCACAAACCGUU